UAAUUAAUUCGAUGCAACGCGCAAAACCUUACCUACCCUUGACAUGUUCGGAAUCCUGAUGAGAUGCGGCAGUCUGGGAAAGAGAACCGGCACACAGGUGCUGCUUGGCUGCCGUCAGUCUCGUGUCGUGGGAUGUUGUAGUUAAGUCCAGCAGAAGAGCCCAACCCUUGUCCUUAGCUGCUACGGGAAAGAGCACUCUAAGGAGACUGCCGGUGACAAACCGGAGGAAGGUGGGGAUGACGUCAAGUCCUCAUGGCCCUUAUGGCUGUGGGCUUCACCCCGUCAUACAAUGGUGCGGUACAGAGGGUUGCCAACCCGCGAGGGGGAGCUAAUCCCAGAAAACCGAUCGUAGUCCGGAUUGCACUCUGCAACUCGAGUGCAUGAAGUUGGAAUCGCUAGUAAUCGCGGGAUCAGC
rnacentral:rRNA from 1 species